rnacentral:hammerhead_ribozyme from 1 species
UUCCAGCUGACGAGUCCUAAGUAGGACGAAAUACGCUUCAUCCUGGAU